UCGUUUUCUUGUGUUUGCUGUUAUUGCCCUGAGGACAGUGCUCGUUUUUGUGUGGGGAGGGGUGUGUGCUUGUUUUGAAAUGUAUGCUGUUGGGUUCUGGAUUGUUGGUUUUGGGCAAAUGGCCUCCUUGCGCUGAUUAAUUACUUGUCUUUGAGUUCACCCUUGGUCUUGACAUUGGUUUGCCAGUGAUUCUGGAACUGCAUUGGUUUUGGUUGUUGUCCUUGUUUGUCGCGAUUGACAUUUACCUAAGUAGUGUUAUGGGUUUAAUAUCUUAGAUGCAACAACUUGAUGAGCAACUCUUGACGUGAUUUGUCCGGUAGAUGCUAGGGGGAGUGUUUUCAUUGUAAUUGCCUAAUUUCUUAUCUCUUGUUGAAACGUGGUUUGUUUAUUGAGUUCUUGAUGGCUCUGGGUCUCUGCUCCUCUGAUGGUGACAUUAUGAGCAUGGGAAACCACGCGGGAACAUUUUGGUUUACCUCCAAAAAUUGCAAAUCUCGUGAAAUACGACCUAUUUGUCACAAAAAAAAUAAUAAUAAUAAUAAUAAUAAUGAGAUUUGAUUGUAAAGGCGGUUACAUUAGGAAAUUCACCCCUAGCGGAGAACUGGGUUUGAUCGGAUUGAGUUGUAUCAUUUUGUUGUUGCCUC
rnacentral:lncRNA from 1 species